rnacentral:rRNA from 1 species
UACGUAGGGGGCAAGCGUUUGUCCGGAUUUAUUGGGCGUAAAGAGCGUGUAGGCGGCCUGAAAGGUCAGCUGUGAAAACUCGAGGCUCAACCUCGAGACGUCGGUUGAAACCAUCUGGCUAGAGUCCGGAAGAGGAGUGUGGAAUUCCCGGUGUAGCGGUGAAAUGCGCAGAUAUCGGGAAGAACACCCGUGGCGAAGGCGGCACUCUGGGACGGUACUGACGCGUGAGACGCGAAAGCGUGGGGAGCGAACAGG